rnacentral:lncRNA from 1 species
UGUAAAUUACUUUGUCUUUUCCCAUAAUGAUCACGAAUUAGUCCAAAGAGUAAUGAUAGUAUCGUAAGUUACUAAUUCUCCUAAAACGCUAAAGAUUUUGCGAAGGGAGUUUAGCAUGUUUAUACGUCAAAUAGGUCUCGAACAAGCUCGAAUCAAAAGACAGGGGAACAAGUGUAGGAAGGCACAAGAUGCAUCUUUUAACGAGUGUGUUCGGUUGGCGUGGUGGCUGGUUUCACCACAGAAGCAAGGCUACAGCCCCACCCAAUAGAUCAUCCAAACAUUUUGACUCUAAUGGAGGUAAAGAAGAGACCUUUUCUCAGGUGCUCUCCUUUAUGAUUGCCCUCUCAAAUUUGUGCUACUUUCAUUUCUAUCAGUUUGUGUACUCCACUCAAGAGACCUCAUGCAUUCUUCUCCAUGGUAAGUAAAGAGGAGUCCUUAUUUCUAUGCAUCAAUCAUGUUUCCUUCUCUAUCUAUCUUUCCAUUGGUUUCGACUUUCUUGGCUUGGGAUCCACACAUUUUUUGGCAAAUUAGCAAUGCCAUUAUUAGUAUCAUCUUCGCUAAGCAAAAUUUAAAAGAAAAUACUACAAGAUAGAGCAAACAAAUUGCUCUUGUCCUAUACAGGAUUUUGAGGUCUUUGUUUUUUGGUAAAAGCAUUUUGGGCUUAAAAAUACAAGCAAAUAACAAAAAUCUGAAAAAGAGAAUCAACAUCUUCUUCCUUUCUUAGGUGUUGUCAGGAACUUUCGAUCGGUUUUCACUUUGUUAAAUCUCAAAGUCAAUUAUUUUUUUUCCUUUAUUCUUAUUUUUUAAUGCUUUAUUCUUAUUUUUUCAAUAAUACUCCUCUCCAUGUAAGGAUUUCUAACUCUCUAUUUUGCAUUGUUUUUUUAUAAAAUUACAAAAUCUUUUGUGUGAGCUCGGUGUGUUUUUUUAUGUGUUUUGGUGUAAUUUAAUGUUUGGACGUUAAAUUUGUUGGAUUUUCAAGAGUUUUAUUCAGUCAUAAAAAAAUUGUAUGGAAUUGCAAUCAUUGUGACCGAGUAAAUAACUCUACGAACGAAUGGAUGGGAUCCACUUGGAAAAUGGGAAGAUUUGUACAAGUUACAUGUCUCGUCACCACCAUCUUAUGAAAUAAUCAUUAGGUAUGAAUAUGUUAGAUACCUAUAACUCGAUUGUUAAAAUCGUAUCUCUCCACUAAGUAGCAUGCUUUUACCGACCCACAAAGAAAAGAUACCUCAAACUGGUUGUGGUGAAGCCGAUAUAUGUACAUAUAUUAACUUUAACAAAUCGCUUCAUUGUAUCUUCAUAGAGACUAGAUUAUUCAACGAUAUAAUAUGUUUUAUGUUUAUUCGAGACUCUUAUCGAUUAUUUUUAUAGAUGUUUUAUGUUUUUUCAUUAUUGAAUUAAUUAUUUUUUUCAAAAAAAAAAACAAAAAAGAUAAGAGAAACUAAUGUGGAGUCUGAAUGAUAACGGGGAAACUCGAAAAUGAGAAUAAUAACGGGAUUAGGGGUUAUUCAAAAAAUAAUGCAGUUAAGGAGGAUAAUAUAAAACUAAAAAGCCGUGUAUAAAAUGAGAUUCUCGUCAAAUUGAUAGCCUAAAUAGUACUCCCUCCGUCUCAGGAAAAAAAAAUUAUCCCAAAAUAUUUGUCCCUCUCUUCUUUCAAUACAAAUUUAUCUACAUCUUAAAUGUGAUUUUUUUGAAACUCGACAUUAUUCUCAUUUCUCAAUGCACUAAAUCUCUAUAUUUAUUGUGAUUUUUUUGAAACUCAAUAAUAUUCUCACUUAUCAAUGCACUAAUUAAUGAUACAUAUGAUAAGAUUCCAUCUAACCAAAUUUUUUCUUAAUAUGUGUGUUUAUUCCAGAAUUGACUUAUAAAUUGAGACGGAGGGAAUAUACAAUGAGAUAAAAGGUAUGGUUUUCGUUCAUGGAUCACACGCUACUCAAUUUUUUCAUCAUAAACACC